UCCUGGCUCAGAUUGAACGCUGGCGGCAGGCCUAACACAUGCAAGUCGAGCGGUAACAGGGGUAGCUUGCUACCCGCUGACGAGCGGCGGACGGGUGAGUAACGCGUGAGAAUCUGCCCAUCAGUGGGGGAUAACCCGGGGAAACUCGGGCUAAUACCGCAUACGUCCUACGGGACAAAGCAGGGGACCUUUUGGCCUUGCGCUGAUGGAUGAGCUCGCGUCGGAUUAGCUUGUUGGUGAGGUAAAGGCUCACCAAGGCGACGAUCCGUAGCUGGUCUGAGAGGAUGAUCAGCCACACCGGGACUGAGACACGGCCCGGACUCCUACGGGAGGCAGCAGUGGGGAAUCUUGGACAAUGGGGGCAACCCUGAUCCAGCCAUGCCGCGUGUGUGAAGAAGGCCUUCGGGUUGUAAAGCACUUUCAGUAGGGAGGAAGGCUUCGGAUUAAUACUCUGGAGUACUUGACGUUACCUACAGAAGAAGCACCGGCUAAUUUCGUGCCAGCAGCCGCGGUAAUACGAAAGGUGCAAGCGUUAAUCGGAAUUACUGGGCGUAAAGCGCGCGUAGGCGGUGUGUUAAGUCGGAUGUGAAAGCCCAGGGCUCAACCUUGGAAUUGCAUCCGAUACUGGCACGCUAGAGUGCAGUAGAGGGAGGUGGAAUUUCCGGUGUAGCGGUGAAAUGCGUAGAGAUCGGAAGGAACACCAGUGGCGAAGGCGGCCUCCUGGACUGACACUGACGCUGAGGUGCGAAAGCGUGGGGAGCAAACAGGAUUAGAU
rnacentral:rRNA from 1 species